rnacentral:rRNA from 1 species
AUUGAACGCUGGCGGCAGGCCUAACACAUGCAAGUCGAGCGGAUGAAGGGAGCUUGCUCCUGGAUUCAGCGGCGGACGGGCGAGUAAUGCCUAGGAAUCUGCCUGGUAGUGGGGGAUAACGUCCGGACACGGGGGCUAAUACCGCAAACGUCCAGAGGGCGAACGGGGGGGAUCUUGGGACCUCAGGCUAUCAGACGAGCCUAGGUCGGAUUAGCUAGUUGGUGGGGUAAAGGCCUACCAAGGCGACGAUCCGUAACUGGUCUGAGAGGAUGAUCAGGCACACUGGAACUGAGACACGGUCCAGACUCCUACGGGAGGCAGCAGUGGGGAAUAUUGGACAAUGGGCGAAAGCCUGAUCCAGCCAUGCCGCGUGUGUGAAGAAGGUCUUCGGAUUGUAAAGCCCUUUUAUUUGGGAGGAAGGGCAGUAAGUUAAUACCUUGCUGUUUUGACGGUACCAACAGAAUAAGCACCGGCUAACUUCGUG